AUACGAAGGGGGCUAGCGUUGUUCGGAUUUACUGGGCGUAAAGCGCACGUAGGCGGAUUGAUCAGUUAGGGGUGAAAUCCCGAGGCUCAACCUCGGAACUGCCUUUAAUACUGUCAGUCUAGAGACCGGAAGAGGUGAGUGGAACUCCUAGUGUAGAGGUGGAAUUCGUAGAUAUUAGGACGAACACCAGUGGCGAAGGCGGCUCACUGGUCCGGUACUGACGCUGAGGUGCGAAAGCGUGGGGAGCGAACAGGAUUAGAUACCCUAGUAGUCC
rnacentral:rRNA from 1 species